CAUCCCUUUCGAUUUGAACAAAACCUUCCAUACAUAGUCACCCAUUGUAGAAGUGGUCGAAAGUGACUUUCGGGACCUGAAUGCAAAAACAUCGAAGACAUAAAGGUGCUCAAAGUUGACCUAUUAGAAUGUAUGACACCCAUUCUGUGUCUCAACUGAUGGACAACACAACCUCAGAUGAUGUGAAAUAGGUCUAAGCUAUAACAUGCAGAUUGAAAAGAGUUUACAUUUUGUUAGAUAAUUUAUAUUAAGGCAUUAAAUAAUGUCCACAUUUUUAUUAAAACAUAUUUUUUUUCAAGAAAUUAUUAAAAUCGUAUGAUAACCCUGUUUGUAAGCUCUUAAAUUAUAUCAUCUCAACCAUACAUUUUUUCCAGUGAUGUCUUGUGGUAUGGUGGGGUAUGCAAAACGGGUCAACUUUGAGGACCUUUAUCCCUGAAUGUUUUGGCUUGCUCAGGUCCCAAACGUCACUUCCUGACCUCUUCUUCGAUGGGCGGAACGUUGGUUUAAAUCAAAAGGGAUGCUGUCAAAAAGUGAUUGGCCUGGAGCAGCUCGAGGCACCUCUAGUAGAGUCAUCUCUCCAGGCCUGGGCAGCUCGAGGACACCUCUAGUGGAGUCAUCUCUCCAGGCCUGGAGCAGCUCGAGGACACCUCUAGUGGAGUCAUCUCUCCAGGCCUGGAGCAGCUCGAGGACACCUCUAGUAGAGUCAUCUCUCCAGGCCUGGAGCAGCUCGAGGACACCUCUAGUGGAACCCUAUUCCAACGUAGUGCUUUAGUUUGGGACAGAGACCUAUGUGGGAGCCCUAUCAGGCCAAAGCAAGGACACUAAAUAAGGAGUGACAUUUAUGAGCUGUUCUAAUGUAUUUAUUUAGCAUGGCAACAUGCAGCAGAGUACCCUUAUACUGAGCCCUCCGUGUGUGUGCUGGGGUAGAGAAGACAACACUGACUGUUGCAGCCUUUGGUCCUCAGGGACUUAAGAAAAGGGUGCUGUGUAUGUAGGAUAUUUUAACAAAGUAAAAGAACCAAAAUGAAAUAAUCCUUCAGACUUUGAUGUGUGGUGUUUGCUGAUACGUGUUGCUAUUACAGAGACUGCUGAUAUUGAGCUGGUGACUGAUUCUGUGCUGCUUUCUAGUGACAGGAUGUGAUGUCACUAAUGGUCAGUCUGACCAGUGGCGGGAUGUGAUGUCACUAAUGGUCAGUGUGACCAGUGACCGGAUGUGAUGUCUCUAAUGAUCAGUCUGACCAGUGACAGGAUGUGAUGUCACUAAUGGUCAGUCUGACCAGUGACAGGAUGGAAUGCUGACUGCCUAGUGGAACCAUGUUAUAGUGUGUCGUUUCAGAUAAAAAGCUGUUGUGAUUGUGUGAUUUAAACUGUGUAGUCUGUCUGAACUGGUAUACUGUGAUAAUAUAGUGCACUAGCCUCUAGCACCCUGGUCAAAGUAGGGCACUAGCCCCUAGCACCCUGGUCAAAGUAGGGCACUAGCCCCCAGCACCCUGGUCAAAGUAGGGCACUAGCCCCCAGCACCCUGGUCAAAGUAGGGCACUAGAUCCCAGCACCCUGGUCAAAGUAGGGCACUAGCGGGCUAGUGCACUACUGGAUGAGGGUGCCGGGGGGCUAGUGCACUACUGUUGAAGGGCUGGGG
ensembl:lncRNA